rnacentral:tRNA from 1 species
GGCCGGGUAGCUCAAUGGCAGAGCGUCUGAUUACACAAGUAUCCUUAAGGUAUCCUUAUAGUAUCCUUAUGAGUAAUCAGAAGGUCGCAGGUUCGAUUCCUGCCCUGGCCA